AACAAGAAGCCAUCCACUUUCUUCUCAAAGCUCACAGUCUUUCUCUUCUUCCUUCAUGCAUUUCUUCUCUCUGUUCUUUCUUUCUCAAACCAUAGUGGCCAUCAUCUUCUUCCUUCAACCUUCCCAAACGUCUCCACCUUAAUCUCUCUCACUCUCCUUUGCUCACAAACUCGACUCACUUUCUUCUCUCUUCUCCGUCGGUGUCUCAUCCAUCUCUGCUUCGUGAAAACCCAAUCAACAACAUCUCUUUCCUCACUCAGUCUUAAUUUCUUCCAUCUUUCUCCAUCAAUUCGUUUAGGCUCUCACGGCACAACAUCUUUCUUCGGGUUCCCUCUUUAUAAAUCAAAGCAACGACAAACCCCUAUUCAUCUCUCGGCUUCAGUUCUUAUGAUUAUUCUUUUUCAGAUCAACUUGGUGGAACAAGUUAAAUAG